CUUCACCCGUUUCCCUUGUUUAACUUUGAUCCCAGUUUCAAUGUCUGAGCUGGUCGUCCUGUAAAAACACUGUUUUACUCUGCAUGUUGGCAAAUAACAGCAAAGAUGAUGUGAAAACACGAAACAGGCUGAGAAAAAUCCCAGUUUGACACAAUCUCUUCAUCUGAGAGGGCCUUUACUUCUGAGUGAUAAAG